rnacentral:rRNA from 1 species
UACAGAGGAUGCAAGCGUUAUCCGGAAUGAUUGGGCGUAAAGCGCGCGUAGGCGGCUACUUAAGUCGGAUGUGAAAGCCCUUGGCUCAACUGAGGAAGUGCACCCGAAACUGAGUGGCUUGAGUACUAAAGAGGGUCGCGGAAUUCCCGGUGUAGAGGUGAAAUUCGUAGAUAUCGGGAGGAACACCGGUGGCGAAGGCGGCGACCUGGGUAGAUACUGACGCUGAGGCGCGAAAGCGUGGGGAGCAAACAGG